GAUGAACGCUGGCGGCGUGCUUAACACAUGCAAGUCGAACGAAGCACCUUGAUUUGAUUCUUCGGAUGAAGAUCUUGGUGACUGAGUGGCGGACGGGUGAGUAACGCGUGGGUAACCUGCCUCAUACAGGGGGAUAACAGUUAGAAAUGACUGCUAAUACCGCAUAAGACCACAGCACCGCAUGGUGCAGGGGUAAAAACUCCGGUGGUAUGAGAUGGACCCGCGUCUGAUUAGGUAGUUGGUGGGGUAACGGCCUACCAAGCCGACGAUCAGUAGCCGACCUGAGAGGGUGACCGGCCACAUUGGGACUGAGACACGGCCCAAACUCCUACGGGAGGCAGCAGUGGGGAAUAUUGCACAAUGGGGGAAACCCUGAUGCAGCGACGCCGCGUGAGCGAUGAAGUAUUUCGGUAUGUAAAGCUCUAUCAGCAGGGAAGAAAAUGACGGUACCUGACUAAGAAGCACCGGCUAAAUACGUGCCAGCAGCCGCGGUAAUACGUAUGGUGCAAGCGUUAUCCGGAUUUACUGGGUGUAAAGGGAGCGUAGACGGAGUGGCAAGUCUGAUGUGAAAACCCGGGGCUCAACCCCGGGACUGCAUUGGAAACUGUCAAUCUAGAGUACCGGAGAGGUAAGCGGAAUUCCUAGUGUAGCGGUGAAAUGCGUAGAUAUUAGGAGGAACACCAGUGGCGAAGGCGGCUUACUGGACGGUAACUGACGUUGAGGCUCGAAAGCGUGGGGAGCAAACAGGAUUAGAUACCCUGGUAGUCCACGCCGUAAACGAUGACUACUAGGUGUCGGGCAGAAAAGCUGUUCGGUGCCGCAGCAAACGCAAUAAGUAGUCCACCUGGGGAGUACGUUCGCAAGAAUGAAACUCAAAGGAAUUGACGGGGACCCGCACAAGCGGUGGAGCAUGUGGUUUAAUUCGAAGCAACGCGAAGAAACCUUACCUGCUCUUGACAUCUCCCUGACCGGCAAGUAAUGUUGCCUUUCUUUCGGGACAGGGAUGACAGGUGGUGCAUGGUUGUCGUCAGCUCGUGUUCGUGAGAUGUUGGGUUAAGUUCCCGCAACGAGCGCGAACCCCUAUCUUUAGUAGCCAGCGGUUUGGCCGGGCACUCUAGAGAGACUGCCAGGGAUAACCUGGAGGAAAGGUGGGGAUGACGUUCGAAUCGAUCGAUGCCCCUUAUGAGCAGGGCUACGCACGUGCUACAAUGGCGUAAACAAAGGGAGGCGGAAACCGCGAAGGUCGAAGCAAAUCCCAAAAUUAACGUCUCAGUUCGGAUUGUAGUCUGCAACUCGACUACAUGAAGGCUGGAAUCGCUAGUAAUCGCGAAUCAGAAUGUCGCGGUGAAUACGUUUCCCGGGUCU
rnacentral:rRNA from 1 species